rnacentral:lncRNA from 1 species
UGUGUACAAGGUCCAACAAAACUUCACCCCUCUCACAAGAGCCUUUGAAGGGUGACUUUGUCAUUUUUCCAAGUAAGCAUGACUCGCAACUAUCAUCUGACUUUAGGUCAAACGACUCCAAUACUCCAUCCUUUUGGAGUUGGCCUAUGCGUUUCUUGCUUAUAUGUCCAAGACGACAAUGCCAUAAUGAUGCUUUAUCCAAGUUAUNCCUGUGAAGGGUGACUUUGUCAUUUUUCCAAGUAAGCAUGAUUCGCAACUAUCAUCUGACUUUAGGUCAAACGACUCCAAGACUCCAUCCUUUUGGAGUUGGCCUAUGCGUUUCUUGCUUAUAUGUCCAAGACGACAAUGCCAUAAUGAUGCUUUAUCCAAGUUAUUAUUAUUAAUAGAAUCAAUACACAUCACAUUAUUUCCUAAGUUAUCUACAACAGACACAACUUCAUACACACCAUCACAAGGUAAUGCUUUAAAAUAAAGAACAUUAUUAAAGAAAGCAUCAAUAGAACCAACUUCAUUAUUAAAUGAAAAGGUAAACCCUUGUUUAUACAAUGCAUGAAAGGAAAUAAUAUUUCUUGCCAUUUCUGGCGAGUAACAACAUUUAUUCAAAUCUAAAUUAAACCCACUACUUAGCGAUAAAGUAUAAACUCCAAUCUUGGUGACAGGUGUAACUUUCCUAUUCCCCAUGAUUAAGUUUAUCCUUCCUUGCUCCACAUUCUC